CCCAACCAAAGCCCACAUCCACACUCGCAUCCUCCUCUGACAACCACCACCGCAUCUGGUCUCCGUCUCCCCCCUCGCCGGUCCUCGUCGCCGGCGAUGGAGCCCCGGCCGGCGCCGCAGCCGCCGACCCUCACCGCGCAGGAGUGGGAGCACCUCCUCGACGACUUCUCCUUCCCCCCACCCCGCCGCGACCGGUGGCUCCACCUCCCGCUGCUCGACCUGGCGCUCUCCUCCCUCCCCCGCCGCGACCUCCCCUCCCACCUCAAGCCGCUCCUGCUCGCCUUCGUCGACGACCACCUUCUCCCUCCCUCCGCCCCCGCGCGCCAACUCCCGCUCCUCCUCGCCGCCCUCCUCGCCUUCCCCGCCGACCACCCGCUCCGCGACCACCUCGUCGCCACCGCCGCCUCCGCCUUCGCGUCCGCGCUCUCCGCCCCGCUGGGGGACCCCGAGGGGGAGGCCCCGCCGCUCGCGGGGCUCGUCGGCGCGCUCCUCGCCGCCGCCAACCGCCCCAACCACGCCACCGACCGCGCCGCGCGCGCCCUCGCCUGCGACGCGCUCAGGGCGCUGGACGAGGCACUGCCGGGGCUCCUCGCCGACGUGCUCGGCCACGCCUACGCGCUCGCCUCCGCCGAGCGCUCCCCCGCCGCGCAGUCCUACAUCCUCCUGCUCGCCUCCGCCGCGCGCGGCGCCGUCCGCCUCGGGAGGCUCGGACCCAGCGCCUCCAUCCUCGCCGUCUCCGGCCCGCCCGUCCCGUUCUCCGUGCCCGCGCACCUCCUCUCCUCGCCGCCGUCGCCGCCGGCUCCCCUGCCCCCGUCGGAGCAGAACGUGAGGGAGAUCAGGAAGGUGCUCGCGCUGGUCAUGGAGAGACCGCAGGUGCUGACGCCCGCGGCGGCAAUGGAGGUCACGGCCAUCGUAGCGGAGGUGGCGACGGCAGUGCUGGAGUGGGCGCCGGCCAUCGCGGCGCAUGUCAAAGUGCAGUUCAGUGGGAUGGCGUAUUCGUCGAGCCCAAUGCUGCUGCACUCGGUGCUCACGCUGUUCGCCCGGUUCCCCGAUGCGUUUGGGGCUGAGGAUGAGCGCAAGAUGGCGCGCCGCUUGGCUUCGGCUGCCUGCGAGGCGCACCGCCCACUGCCAGUGCGAUUGCUGGUGUUGCAUUGGCUGCUUGGGUCCGGGAGGUUCAGAGAUUCAGUGCCUGGGCUUGCCAAAUGGUUCUAUCCUGGCAUGUUCGACCCCCUGGCGCUCAAGGCCAAGAAGCUGGAUUGCCUUGGAUUUGUUGCUGCCACCGUUGACAGUGAUAAGGUUGAAGGAGGCAGUUACGGUCGGCAGACGACCGAGCUCAUCGAUGAUGGCUUAGUCUGUGUUUCGGCCUUCAGAUGGCUCCCGGCAUGGAGUACUGAGACAGGUGUUGCGUUCCGAGCGCUGCACAGGGUCUUGGUCGGCGCUGCUCCUCACGGCACGAAUGACAAGGGUUGCUCCGGAGCUGGUGAGCUCCUGAAUUCAACUACCUUCCACCAUUUCCAGGCUAUGUUGGUUGAUAUGGCAUCAGAACAUCGGAGUUUAGUCCCAGUCAUUGCUGAUUUCAUCAACCGCCUGCUAGCAUGCACCACACAUCGGUGGGUGGGGGAACAGUUGCUCCGAACUGUUGAUGAGUGCCUGCUUCCGAGGCUUGAACCAGGCUACCAGCUCGCAUCUUACUACCCUCUUUUUGAGAAGAUUGCACAGAAUGAGGCAGUCCCUCAGCUCCGCCUAAUUGAAUUGCUCACCAAGCAGAUGGUUUGUCUUGCCAAGAAGCAUGACCCGGACACAGAACUGAAGUCCUGGUCUCAGGGCAGCAAGGUUGUGGGCAUUUGUCGUAUCAUGCUGAAGCACCAUCACAGCUCGCAUAUAUUCCUUCCCCUCACCCACCUACUCGUGCGCACCAUCGAGUCAUUCCCAGACCUAGAGAUCCGGGACCAUGCAAGGAUAUGUUUGCGGAUGUUGUCUUGCAUUCCUGGCAAAAAACUGAGGAAUCUCAUGGGGAUUGGAGAGCAACCCACACCCUCGCAUCCGGGUUCCAUGUUUGAUGACCCAUCAGAGCGGCCUGCUCAAGAUCCUAGCAGCAUGCCUGCUUUGGCUUCGUACAUCCAUCUUGAAAGAGUUGUGCCUCUGGUUGUGAAGCAGUCAUGGGCCCUCACAUUGCCUAAUUUCAGUUUCCAGAGCAGAGCGUCUGGUCACAUCAUAAGUAUACAGGAUGUGAGUGUGACUCCUCCAGAGCAAGAAAAGCCACUGCAACCUACCAUCGAGAGAAUUGGCUAUACACAAGAAGCACUACGUGUGAUGGAUUCAAAGGGGGCUGAAACUUUGGAAAUCCUUAGAAGGCACUUUUCAUGCAUUCCUGACUACCUGCACUCAACUGGCGGUCUCAAAGUCAAAAUACAUUGCACAUUUAGAUUUGAUUCAGAGCCAUUCAACAGAGCUUGGGUAUCUGAUUCACCUGUUCCAAGUUCUGAAGGGGAAGAUGAGUUGCCUGCCCUUUAUGCAGUGACAAUUAGCUUGUCAUCCAGUGCACAGUUUGGAAAAAUUCCUUCAUGUCAUGUGCCUUUCCUUUUGGGUGAGCCUCCAGCUUCCGGUGUGGACAUUGUCCCCAUAGAUAACUGCCACCAGGAAGAAUCAAGUUACCAUGCAUCAGUAAUGAUAGAACUGGAGCCCCGAGAGCCAUCACCUGGUCUCAUUGACGUUGAAAUUGCAGCAAACACAGAGAACUGCCAAGUCAUUUGUGGUUCUCUUCAGCCCAUUACAGUUGGCAUUGAGGACAUGUUUUUGAAGGCCAGUGUACCUCCUGAUACUCCGAAAGAUGGUGCAGCUGAUUAUUACCAGGACCUGUUUCAUGCACUAUGGGAGGCCUGUAACAGUUCCUCUAACACAGGUCGUGAGACCUUCCCUUUGAGUGGAGGGAAAGGGUUAGCUGCGAUCAGUGGAACCCGGUCUGUCAAGCUUCUUGAGGUGACUCCAAAGGUUCUGAUAGGAGCUCUUGAGAGAUACCUGGCUCCCUUUGUUGUCAGUGUUGCUGGGCGUUCACUUAUCACCAUUCUAAGAGGUAAUGGAGUCAUUGAGAAUGUCGUGUGGGAAGAAAGUGACUCAGAUGCUGCUGUUGGUGCUGAUGCAUUGGUUCCAUACUCCAUGGAAAACAAUCUCCAGCUUCAGCACAUCGAUGAUGAUGAAAUUGGGAUCGGUGCGCAGAGGUUUGCUCAUCUAAGCAAGAGGGAUAUGGGUGUCGUGAGCGUUCUGAUAUUCCUGCCGCCCAGGUAUCACCUCCUCUUCUCAAUGGAAGUAGGCUAUGCCUCCACAUUGGUCAGGAUAAGAACAGAUCAUUGGCCAUGUUUGGCAUAUGUUGAUGAAUAUUUGGAGGCGUUGCUGCAAUAGUGAAGGUUUCUCUGGCCAAGACUCUUCAGUUUUGUACCUUAUGUAACAGUAAAGGGUAUACAAUGCAAGCUGUUGUUUUUUCCAUUUUCCGGGGGCUUCUUUUUCUGUACCAUGAUGUCUGGAGCGUCAUUCUUUCUGCGGAUUCAGAAGUGUAAUUUCCAGUGGAGAGGGCAAUUUUGUUCAUUGGCCAUCAUCUAGAAUAUGGGAUUGUUUAUAUGUUGAAAUCAACUUUCCAUCCUAUGUUACUUCACCGGCUAUGUAAAGUUGUGGUAAUCAGUGUCCAUUUGCAACAAAUUUGUAAGUCUUCAGUGUUCAGUCUUGAGCAUUCAAGCCUUAUAUAUACAUUGUCAGCAGAUGUUUGAUGUACUACUUGAAACUUUAAUAAACAAGUUUACUAGGAGAGGGACUCAAUAGCUGAAUUCUUGGUCUGUACAUCUUCAUACUGGAUUCAGUAGCCAUGGCCUGGAGAGAGACAGCUCAAAAAUAACAGCUGGGCCGAAGAUCAUAAAGGAAUUUUGGUGCUUUAUAUUUUUGCAGCAUUUGAAUGGGCUGCAUACAAGGCAGGACUGGUGCAAGGGUCCGUUUUUAGCAUCAAUUAUGUGAACCAUUCCUGCUGUACAAACCGCUGAAGGUGCUAUUCACUGUCCACCAUUUUGCAAAGGGUGACGUAGCAAAAUCAGAAGAAUCAGACAAUUUGAAUCUCGUUCUGGUCUACAGCAAGCAAUCAGUCCACUUCCUCCUUUAUCCAGAAACUUUUAAAUAUCCGAAGGCUAGAAGUAAUUAUUCAACAUAAUUUCAUCAGUCAAGUUGAACUUCUUCCUUCAGUAUGGCCUGGGGUAUGCAUAAGUUCAAGAUCAGUUCCAAUGUUCCACAGGAUAUUUCCAGUAAGUUUUACCCUCAGCUUCAGCAGUAAUAUCCUCUACCUGUAUCGUCAUGGUUAUUGCAGUAGAUAAUCAGGGCAAAUAUCAGAGAGAAAAUUGUAACAUUAGAAUCUAGGAGUUGUAAUACGAAUUAUUGAACUGCAAUAUGUCUGAAAUUGAGACUGGGGCGUUACAGUUCCAUUAUGUGCUAUCUUUUGGCUCUAUGAUUUCAUAUUUGGUGAUUCUAAUUCUUCAAAGUCAGCCUAUAAUUCUUUAUAUGCAAUACAGCCUGAUCUUAAACCAGUGUUAACUUCUGAUUUUUGGUUCCAGGGGUAUUUCCUAUAAUCAUUUUCUUAAUAAAAACUUUCCUAACAAUCCUGCUGAGCGGAAGUGGUCAAUGUAUGUAAUUAUUUAAUUUUACUCAUUAUAUUAGGCAUUGAUGUUAAUAGCUAAAUUGGCAACCUGAGGCUCCAAAACAUCACGGGUUCAAAGAUCAAACAUACAAAUUGCAGUAAUUAUUAUCUGUAUUUUCUGGGCAGUUUUGUUCAUUGGUCAUUUAUCAUGAACAACGUGCGAUUAUAUGCUGAAACUAAGUUCGCAUUAUAUGUUACGUCAAGUGAGGUCCACAAGUACUUGGUCAAGUCAAAUAAAAUAUGGUUAAGCCAAGCCAUCACACCCUUGCAAGUGUUAUUGUAGGUAUUUACAGUAAAUCAAGGACCCUUUUAAGCAAGUUGUAUAUAUAAUAAUGUGUGUAUACAAGGUGUUCGGUAGGCAAUUGGUGACUUGGUGAUUGAACUAAACAAAGUAUAUUAUUCAGUACUAACAUUUUUGAACUCGAUAUAGGCACUCAAUCCUUGAUAGAUUGCCAAUGUACAUAUAAGUAUAUGCCAUUUAGUUGUGACUGAAUAUCUGCCUGUCCACGGCUUGGCCGCUUGUUGUUAAAAACUCAUUCGUCUGUCCGGUCCCCAUAAAAUACUAGCUGGACAACAACUUGGUAACAUGCUAUACCAUACUGCAUACAAUAUGACAAACUUAAUCAAGAGAUGUACAUAGUUGAUCAAGUCAAGCAAAAAAGAGAUUAGGCCAAGACAUUGGCGCUUGAAAAUGUUAUAUGAUUAAAUUAAAAAAAGAGACACUUUUAAGCCAGUGGUAUAAGAAAAGUUGAGUAGGCAAGUGAGGGCUGGGAUUAUGAAUGUGUAGAUACAUACAAAAGUGGUUCGUGGACCAGCCAGUAGCAUAAUUAGCUAGUGUGCGUGUGUGGCAGAGAGGAGAGAUCAAAGGGAGAACUGAUGGGUGUCUCAGGCGCUGUUCAGUGGUGGGAGGUGUCGCAGCUGCGCAUCCUCGUCCUUGCUAGCCUGGUGAUUCAGUACAUCCUCCUUGUCGCUUCGGCCGCAUCGUAAGUUCCCCAUCAGAUCCUGGUUUAGACCUGUCAUCUGGCUAGCAUACCUGGGCAGCGAUGCCAUUGCAAUCUAUGCGCUCGCCACCCUCUUCAACCGCCACAGGGAGUCACAUCAGGAGGAUGGAGAUGGCGGCAGCAACAUCCUGGAGGUGCUGUGGGCGCCUAUCCUCCUGAUACACCUAGGUGGACAGGACGGCAUAACCGCCUACAACAUCGAGGACAACGAGCUAUGGACGCGGCACAUCCUCACCUCAGUGUCUCAGGUCACUGGCUGUCUACGUCUUCUGGAAAUCAUGGCCAGGCGACGACAGGAGGCUGCUCCAGGCAGCAAUAUUGCUUUUCAUCCCCGGUAUCCUCAAAUGCUUAGAGAAGCCCUGGGCUCUCAACAGGGCUAGCAUGAGCCUGUUUGGAGGUCAAUAAACACACAGAAGCUCAAGAUCGAUCUGCUUGAAGAUUUCAUUCACAAGGCAAUCAGUCCUGCUGGAGCGAAUGAUUACCUUUUAACACCAGCCACACCGGUGGACUUCACUCCCCACAAGCUAUUUGUGGAUGUUGCAUCUCCUUCUCCGGAUGAUCGGAUCAGGAUGCUGCAAUCCUUCUCAGCACUGGAUGACAACCAUGCGUAUUGUAAGCUGCAGCAUUGGCUCUCUGAGACAUUUCAGCUCCUCUACACCAAAGAAAAGAUGUUCUCCCUCGAGUUUGUCUUUGUAGGCCAAACCAAUAACAUCGCCCAUGCCCGUGCCAGCAUGUCGGAGCAAAUAGUAGGCUUUUUUAGUAGUGGUCUUGUUCGACUAUUUGCUAUGUACCUUCCGUUUGCGGCUGUAGCCCUCUUUCAUUGUAGUCACAGAGAAGUUUAUAGGGAAGAUGAUGUCAAGGUUA